AGAAGGCGUGGCUAACCCAGGGAGAUCAGGUGCAAGCCAUGCAGCUGAGUGACUGGAAGGUGGGGAGCCUGGAUCCACCCCUCCUCACCCUCAUUUAAGGGUUGGCAGCCAAGGGAAUAAUAUCUCUCUGGAUGGAGAUUGAUUUGUUACUGGUUGUUGUAAAGGAUUGCUACAAAGCUGAGCUGUGAAUGUGGAAACGGAAGACUUGCGAGUAAAAUGUAUUUUAAUACUUAAGGCCUUAGUCACAAAACCAGAUCCACAGAGUUCUUUCAGGAAAUCCCAGAGGGCCAUGCUUCUUGAGUCGGAAUUGGAAUUGACCGAAGACUUAAAAGAAAAAAUGUUUAUAUAGAGAAUGCUGUGAGAAUGACAUAACGUGAUCUGAACAUCAUGCUUAUCUGAAAAAUGUCAGACUCCUAACAGCGUAUGGACAACUGUGUUGUGGUGGGACAGAACUGAUCCCUGAGGAAGCAGGGGAAGACAUUGGUCUAUUGCUUAACAGCAGAAUAUUAUUGUGAAAGUUUGCAUAUUACAGUGAGGGCUUGCUAUAUUAGUAUCAAGAGAAAUCUGCUUUCCCCAUGUGCUUCAUCAGUGAGGGUUUUGUGGAUUACUACAGCAUUUUUCUAUUGCUUGCAGGUCAGGCACAGCUUAUGGUGUCUUGAGUCUCUGAGUUUUGUAGGUGUUUGUUCUAACCAGAUUCUCAUUUUGCAUUACACAAAUUUUCUAUUUGUUUGAACAAUAAGUUUUUAGAGGAAGUUUUUUUAAAAAAAGAAGAAAGAAAAAGCUGGAAGAGGCUUUGAACUAUUACAUCACUUAAUUUCUUACUGUCAUUCUGAAGAUAUUAUGAUUGGUUCUGAAAGAAAAGCUACUAGUAUGCAAAAUUACAUGAACUAAAACAUGAAUUUGCUUCUGAUAUGGAGAGUUUCUUUGCCAACUUAGGUAAUGAGCUUUUUAACUAAUUCCUCAUUUAAAAGCAACUGGUAAUAAUGAAGACUAAAUCCUAUGCUAUUCUUGAUAUCCCUUAAGUACCUCCAGCUGUGUGAUAGGCAAGACUGUUAGAUUUUGAAUUUAUCAACAGAUUUCUAAAAAUGUUGUUAAACAAUGAGAACUACUGCCUGAACAUACACUUGUAUACAUUUUUUGGUAUGCUUUAAAGUAAAUACUAGUAUAACAGUGUGGUCCCUUAUAUAGAUAAUAGGACAGGAGUUCAGUGCUUCUUACCUAAGUGAUUAUUGUGGAGUUCAGGAAAUAAGCAUUCACUUCAAUGAGAAGAAUUAUUUCUAGCUCUUCAGACAGUUCAGAGGCUGUGGAGAGUAAUAGUUACAAGUGCCACUGUGAUCCCUUAUCAACUCUACUCCAUGUUCAAUUGUGUGAGUGAGGAGAGGUUUUUGAGAACAUAAGUGUGGAGGGAACUCAUAUUGAAAGGAAAUGAAAUACUGUAGAACAAGAUUCAAAAGUCUCUUGUGUAGCUGCCUGUACCUUGUCAUAAUGUAUCAGACAACACUUAAGCUGUUAGGGACAAAAAUCUGACAGAGUUAUGGGGUCCCUCACAUAGUUAGUUCUAAAGAUGAAGGUGCAUUUUUAUAGCCAGAACCACCAACAAGCACAUAAAAGAUGCAGAAUUAUUCUUUUGACAAGAGCUAACACUGCUACAGUGAGGUCAACAAAUUACUCACAUAAGAUAAACAUAUUAGAUUUUAGUUUACCAGGCAUGCUGCCCUUUUUUGAACAAAAAAUAAACUCUUUUCUGCUUAAGUACCUGGACAUCCAUCUACAUCCUUUCUAUUUUUGAAAGCAGAUGGAUUAUCAUUUUCAGUGACUUUUGGACAAGAAGUUCUAUAACUGAUUUUGGUUUUCUCUGAUCUCAGUGUUUUACAUGGUGGUGGAAAGAAUUUAUAGAAACGUAAACAAUUGGAAGACUCUUAAUCAUAAACGUUUCACUUUUGAAGUCUCAAGUGAUGUAAAUUAUUGUCACAUGUGUAGGAAUAACUGCUAUGUUUUAUCCUGUAAGUGAGAAAUUAUGUACCAACUGAUGCUUUUCUGUUUUGAAAUGGGCAGAUGGUAUGUUAAAACAUCUAACUGUAACUAGGAUGCGGGGAUUGUUUUUCUUGAUGUUUUUUAUUUAGUGCAAAGUUAAAGCUUUCUCUUCCUUGCUAUAGCUUUUCUGAAGCUAGAAGGGAGGAGUGUUGGUGUUAGACUUUCUUUAUCAUUUUCAGCCAUUGCUUGUAUGCUUUUGUCUAUAUAGCUGUUAAGGUGUAUUAAGUCUUGCUUUUUUCAUAUAAUGAAACUGAUGCUAUCUCAAAGGAAAUAUCAUCAUGUGGAAAUUUUUCCACAUGAUAUUUUACAUUAAUUAUUAGUUUAUUUUGUUUUGUAACGUGUCUAUAGAUGGAGAAAUAGGCACUUCCUCCGAGAACGUGUCUUGCAGUUCUUGUCAUAAAGCUUCAUAUUUUCUAGCUUUUAAAGCAUCUUCUCUCCAAUUUCAGAAGACCAUGCAGUAGUAUGUUAGUAGGCACUAAGAACCUACUGAAUAGAAGAAAGUAAUGUAUUAACUUCAAUUUUAUUUUCUUCCCUGUUCCUUAAUGAUGUUGAAAGUGUGCAAAGAUGAAUGAAUUCAAGGAAAGAAUUGAAAGAGUACUUGCUAAAACAUGUUAGUGAAGAUCCAAAACAGGUCAGUGGUCUGAGGCUUUUGAAAUUAAUUGGCAGAUAUCUUUAGUGGUAAUGUCAUAAGCACAUAAAUAUUAUGAUUUAAAGACAGUUCUUUUGACUGGUAGCAGGGGAUUUACUUUUGCUGUAAAGUGGGAGAAUAAUAUGUCCAGCAGGACAGCUUGAAACUACCUUGGUUCUGAGUUAUUCAGCCAGGUGGAGCUUAAGGAUCAUCAAGCAGUUUAGUCCCACACUAUUGCUAUGGAUUUUUUUGCAUCAAUGUACUGCAUUGGUCUAUUCCCCAAAAUUGUAGAGAGAUAUGAAAAUAACACAUGACAUCGCCCAUUUGGCUGACUUCUCUUUACAAGUUUGUGCUCUAUAUAGUCAUCCUUUCUUCUAGAAGAUAUACAUAUUAUUUUUCCCUUUUCUUGAGGUGCUAGACUUUAGAGCUGCCAGAUGAGAAGUUCAGUAAGAGUCAGCCUAAUAAUUUUCCAAAGCCUGUGAAAUCACUUCUCUUCAUAGGUCCUGCAACACCUGUCCCUCUGUAGGGGAACAACUCUAAAGGAGAUAAACAGGGAUGUAACAGCAGAAAGGUUAUUAACUAGGCUCAGUUACAGAACCAGGUGAUCUGUGCUGCUUUACAGGAAUAAUUAAAAAUCAGUUUUUAAUUUCUGAUUUGUCAGUACUCCCUGUUUACACUUUCCACAGUGCAGUCUGUGGGGAAAAAUAACUAGUACUGCUUCCUACUACUGUUAACUCUUGAUGAUUUGCCAAAUAAAUUACAGUACACAGUGCUGAAACUGUUCUGUCUAGUCUUGAUUACACAGUUAUGACUACAUAAAUAGCAACCAAGUGUCUUAUCCCUUGCUUGUCAUUAAGCAUAAUUCUUUUAAAAGUAAUAAUAAUUGUGCAAAGAUAAAUUGCUGAUCAA